rnacentral:lncRNA from 1 species
GGAUUCUUCUUCCCCUCGACCUACCUCCAUGUGGCUUAGGUCUCUUUUUCCUGCAUAUUUUCAGGCUCACACAAGCAGAUCGGCAAAGUCCCUCAAGAAUAUUUUGUCGAGAGAGAAAAUAAGGUGCUUAUUCUACAAUCCCUGCUUGAGCAUUGACAUUCUCACCAACUUGUGCAAAUUGCGUAUCUCAAGCAUUUGCGGCAUUGAAGUGCAUACGUAGUCACGCAGUGACUCAUCCUCUUUCUACU